CCUUGUCAGGGGCACUGGUCUAACUGUUGCCUUCCUCGCCCUUCCUACUGGGCCCCUUUACCCUGACCCGCCUGGUCUGCCAGGUCCAAGGCCUGUCCCUGGUAGGACAGAGAACGAGCACCUAACUGGGGCGGCCACCCUUAGGCAAGUCCCUCUUGUCAAUGCUCCUCACCUACAAAAAGCCUUGACCUCAUGUCUUCCCGUCUUACUACCUCACCUAUUUCUUUUUUUUAAGAUAUGUAGCCAGGGCUGGCUUCAAACCUGCUUCAGAGCUAAGACCUCAAACCCUGGGUCCUCCCUGUCUCUGUCUCCCAAGUGCUGAGAUUGUGGACAUGUGCUACCUUCCAGCCCGUGCCAGUGCUGGGAUUAAAGGCGUGUGUCACCAACGCCCGGCUGAGAAACCCUGCUUCUAUAAAAACAAGAUGGAAAACUCCAGUCAAUGGAGGCAGAGGCUGGAGAAUGGCUCCUGAGGUUGGCUUUACAGUUUACCUGACUGUACAUCUUGAUUUGACUGAGAAAACAAGACCAGAGAGCAGCGUAGCCUUUCUCAGAGACACACAGCCAAGCCAGCUGCUGAGCUGACAAAACCAGCCUGGGACAGAGGCUCUCUGGCUCUUGAUGCACACAAUGCAUUGUGGGUAUACACAUGGAUGUCCCCUUGUUGAGUGGCCUGAAGAAAAGCCCUUAGAGAAGGAGAGGCAGGAGUUCAUCCCAGGACUGCAAGGAGGACCUCCCAGGAGGCCAGAGGAUGAGCUUCCAGGGCUACACCCCAAUCAGACACAAGCUUGGAGCUUUUGUUUUUAUUUUAAAGGAAAACAAAAACAAAAAACAAACCCAGUGCAAAA